rnacentral:rRNA from 1 species
UACGUAGGGUGCGAGCGUUAAUCGGAAUUACUGGGCGUAAGGCGUGCGCAGGCGGUUUUGUAAGACAGAUGUGAAAUCCCCGGGCUUAACCUGGGAACUGCAUUUGUGACUGCAAGACUAGAGUACGGCAGAGGGGGGUAGAAUUCCACGUGUGGCAGUGAAAUGCGUAAAUAUGUGGAGGAAUACCGAUGGCGAAGGCAGCCCCCUUGGUCGAUACUGACGCUCAUGCACGAAAGCGUGGGGAGCAAUCAGU